GGGGUAAUAGCUCUGUAGUAGAAUGUAUGCUUAACAUGCACAAGGUCCUGGGUUCAAUCCCCAGUACCUCCA
rnacentral:tRNA from 1 species